AUUGAACGCUGGCGGCAGGCCUAACACAUGCAAGUCGAACGGUAGCACAGAGGAGCUUGCUCCUCGGGUGACGAGUGGCGGACGGGUGAGUAAUGUCUGGGGAUCUGCCCGAUAGAGGGGGAUAACCACUGGAAACGGUGACUAAUACCGCAUAACGUCGCAAGACCAAAGAGGGGGACCUUCGGGCCUCUCACUAUCGGAUGAACCCAGAUGGGAUUAGCUAGUAGGCGGGGUAACGGCCCACCUAGGCGACGAUCCCUAGCUGGUCUGAGAGGAUGACCAGCCACACUGGAACUGAGACACGGUCCAGAAUCCUACGGGAGGCAGCAGUGGGGAAUAUUGCACAAUGGGCGCAAGCCUGAUGCAGCCAUGCCGCGUGUAUGAAGAAGGCCUUCGGGUUGUAAAGUACUUUCAGCGGGGAGGAAGGCGAUGUGGUUAAUAACCGCAUUGAUUGACGUUACCCGCAGAAGAAGCACCGGCUAACUCCGUGCCAGCCGCCGCCGUAA
rnacentral:rRNA from 1 species